UAGAUAUUAGUAAAAUUAGCAUUCAUUUUUGGUAAUUAAAUUCAGUCCUCGUGGGAACGAUCUCUUAUUUAUCAUUAUAUUACUUGAGCGAUUUCGUGCACUUGCGAAAUAGGCUAUCAAGUUUUUGGCACCGUUGCUGGGGACUGGUACUUUAAUAUCAAGAAUAGUUGAUUUUACUAAUAAUCUAGAUAUUUUAUUUCU
rnacentral:lncRNA from 1 species